CGCUUCUUGUGUAUAUAAUAUAUGAAGUAUAACCUGCCCACUGAUAUAAAUUUAAAGGGCCGCGGUAUUUUGACCGUGCAAAGGUAGCAUAAUCAUUAGUUUUUUAAUUGGGGACUGGUAUGAAUGGUUUGACGAGGAAUAAUCUGUUUCUUAUUAAUAUAUUAUUGAAUUUAAUUUUUAAGUUAAAAAGCUUAAAUUUUUUUAUGGGACGAGAAGACCCUAUAGAGUUUUAUAUUUUUUAUGUAUAAUCAGUUUGUUAAGUAUUUAUAAAUUAGUAUAUAAAUAAUAUUUUAUUGGGGUGAUAUUAAGAAUUAAAUAACUCUUAUUAUUAAUAAUACAUUUAUUUAUGAUAAUAUGAUCCAUAUUUAUUGAUUAUAAGAUUAAAUUACCUUAGGGAUAACAGCGUUAUUUUUCUUGAAAGGUCUUAUUGAUAGAUAAGUUUGCGA
rnacentral:rRNA from 1 species